AACAUAAGCACUAAUUAGUAACUGAAAUGUUACUCUUUUUACCCCUAGCACACUAUUCGAAAUUUAUAUGCUAAGUUAACUGAAUAAGUCAGCUGUUACCUGUAAGGAACAUGACUUCUCUUUCUCCUUAGUGCAGCAAUAACAUCUCCAAGUGCUGAUAGGGAGAGGUUUAUGGCCUUUCCCUCAUCCAUUGUCAACCCAGAUGCACCAGUCUUCAGCAACCGCUCGCUACCUCCAAGAUCGAUGAGCCAGAGCUUGCUGACUUCUUCAGUGGCUCCAUGCCUUCUUAUGAUUGUCAACCCACCAGUGCGACCGGCUCGAGACGUCAUUGACAUUUGUCCAAGAUGUUGAUCGGGCACGCCGUCCUCUGCAGUACCACUGGUUGGCUUUCUUCAGGUCCGGUAUUGAGACAUCGGUCAGCCCCUCAACUUCCACAGCACCGGUUUUAGUUGCCAGAAUGCUGAGAUUACUGAAGCAUAGAAAGAAAUUGAACAUCGACAUUUCCGGAUUGAGAAUUGGUAAUCUUUCUUCAUAGUUUAAAUGUGAACAUAUAGUCUUACCAUGCUGUGCUACAUUCUGAUGGCCUGAAUAGAGGCUGCCUUGGUGCCAACAAGUCCCUGAGACUUCCCAAGUAGACCUCAAGCAUGCUUAUGGAGAAAGAGUAUGUGGAUGAACUGUCUUCUGAAGCAUGAGAAAACAGUUCUUGAAUAGCUCGAGGAACAAUACCGAGCUUACCAUCAGUUCCUUCCUGCAAUCAGUUAUACCUUCUUUUAUCAGAACUUCCGGGAAAAGGUUUUUCCUGUCCCAGUCUGGCCAUAAGCGAGAAUGCAGACAUUGUGCCCGUCAAGUGCAGAUCUGAGGAUUGGUUUUACUUCUUGGAAAACAUCCUCUGCAUGGACCACACUAAAAUGAAUCAUACUGCUGAAAAGAAAAAUUGACAAGUGAGUGAAAGAUUACCCUGUGUUGACUCCUGAUCAAAAACCCUAUCAACGCUGAACUCUUUUUUGAUCCCCACUGACUUGACUGCAAUCUUCUCUUGUUCUACAUUAACUGAUGAUUUGGUCUUCAAAUUGUUCAUUUGGACAAAUGGCCGUACCCGGCAGAAGACUCUAAUACUUCCUAAUUUUGGCCAAGCUCUGCGCUCAGAUCUUUGGAAAUUCAAGCACCAAGAACUGCUAUCUAGAAUUGAAGACUGUACCUUUCAGGUCAAUGAGCUUGUCGAGUGCCUCCCGUCUUCUCCGGUCAAGAUGUCGCUGCCUUGAUCGUAGAACUGAAAUCUCCUCUGAAACAACAUUGGAUUGAGAUAACUCCAUCAGGUCUCGAUGCAAAGUCACCAUCACUUUACAGGCAACUCACAGUAAGUAAAUUGAUGCUGCUCCAACCUUGCAGAUCUGAUAUGUCCUUGUCGUAGCCCACUAAGAUUUCCCCAUUCGGGAGCUCCAAGCUCAAGCUCUCCAAUGGCACCAUCACAUUCACAUGGCCUCCCAUGGCUUCGCUCUCCAUGCAAAGGAAAACAAGAGCUGUUCUUCAGAGUUCAGACAAGCUGAUUGCUGAUCAGAGAAGAAGCCUAUUGAACAUCUUCAUCUGCUUUUUCUUCCCAAUGGAACUGCAAAAAAGUGCCUGUUAUCAGCAUAACUGUGUAGAUGGAAUCUGAAACGGCUCAGAGCAAGAAAAGAAUGAACAGGAUGACAGCAGAAGGAAUCUAUUCCUUCACUUUUGCAUGAUUAGCCUGCACUUCUGCAGGGCUGGAAGACAGCAAAUCGGGUGCGUGAAAUGGAAUCUUUACAGG